rnacentral:tRNA from 1 species
AGGACUUUAGUUUAUUUAAAACUACUCUUUUGCAAAGAGUGAAAGGGCAAUAUAUUCAUUCUAUUGCUUAAGUCUUG